UACGAAGGGUGCAAGCGUUACUCGGAAUUACUGGGCGUAAAGGGUGCGUAGGUGGUUGUUUAAGUCUGUUGUGAAAGCCCCGGGCUCAACCUGGGAAUGGCAAUGGAUACUGGACAGCUAGAGUGCGGUAGAGGGUAGUGGAAUUCCCGGUGUAGCAGUGAAAUGCGUAGAGAUCGGGAGGAACACCAGUGGCGAAGGCGAGUCCCUGGAAAACUCCUGACACUGAGGCACGAAAGCUAGGGGAGCAAACAGG
rnacentral:rRNA from 1 species